GGCGGCGUGCCUAAUACAUGCAAGUCGAGCGAGCUUACGUUAACUGAAGGUGCUUGCACCUGACGUUGAUGUUAAGCGAGCGGCGGAUGGGUGAGUAACACGUGGGUAACCUGCCUUCAAGUGGGGGAUAACAUUUGGAAACAGAUGCUAAUACCGCAUAACAACUAAAACCGCAUGGUUUUAGUUUGAAAGGCGGCUUCGGCUGUCGCUUGAAGAUGGACCCGCGGCGUAUUAGCUAGUUGGUGAGAUAACGGCCCACCAAGGCGAUGAUACGUAGCCGACCUGAGAGGGUAAUCGGCCACAUUGGGACUGAGACACGGCCCAAACUCCUACGGGAGGCAGCAGUAGGGAAUCUUCCACAAUGGACGCAAGUCUGAUGGAGCAACGCCGCGUGAGUGAAGAAGGUUUUCGGAUCGUAAAACUCUGUUGUUGAAGAAGAACGAGGAUGAGAGUAACUGUUCAUCCUGUGACGGUAUUCAACCAGAAAGCCACGGCUAACUACGUG
rnacentral:rRNA from 1 species